rnacentral:lncRNA from 1 species
AAACUUUAUAUAAAGCAUAUCGGGUUUGGGCACGUCUGGACAAAUGUGCAGAGCCAAGGACUCGAAUCCUGAGCCUGAUGUUCCCCUGCUUCAAUGCUAGCUGUCAUAAGGAAUGCUUUACUGGCCUAGUCUACUCCUAACUAUGAUUUGUUUUGGCACUUUUCCCGAUGCGUUUGAUGGUCGUGAUCAGGUGUAAUUGCAGCGAUCUCACGCCUAUCAGACUCUGUCAAGCUUACACCAGCUCCACAACCAAUGCACGUGUCGAGGGGCUCGAGACGCCAUAGUUGUGAUCAGUGGAACCUUGCGGAUUUAUGUUAGAAAAACUAAGUGGAGUGUUGCUAAUGUGCGCACUAACUAGGUGGCAGUUUAAACCAGUUAAAUGUGAACUAGGCUAGCUUAGAUCUAAGGAUCGGAUUGUAACUAGGCGCGCGAUCGAGCCGCGAGGUGAAAAUGAAAUGACUUACCACAUCGUUCGCAGCUGGUGCUGGUGAGAUUCCGCCUGAGAUCGGUCCAGGCGCCUCCGCUGGUGGUGCCGGCGGGCUGUUCGUAAGUGGCGAUGGAGCCAAGGCCGGAGAUUUCACUUUUGUGCUUGGAGCUGGCGCUGGAACCGCUGCUGGUGGAGAGGCGAGAGGAGCCGGUGGAGGAGUUGCGGGAGGAGGAGUUGCAGGUGGAGGAGUGGCCGGUGGGGGAGUGGCCGGUGGUGGAGUAGCCGGUGGAGGAGUGGCGGGCGGAGGGGUGGCCGGUGGAGGUGUUGCUGGUGGAGGGGUUGCUGGUGGAGGAGUGGCUGGUGGAGGAGUGGCCGGUGGUGGAGUGGCUGGGGGUGGAGUGGCCGGUGGUGGAGUGGCAGGCGGAGGAGUAGCCGGUGGCGGGGCUGAUACCGGAGGAGGAGACGAGGCGGGAGGAGAUGUAACAGCAGUUGGUGGUGACGCGGCGGGAGUUGUGGGGGUAGGAGGAGCUGGAGUGGCGGUGGGCCCUCCAGCGGGAGCCUGACCUCCAACGCCGGCGAAGACAAUGCAGACCAAUCCAAGAACAAGCAAACUCUUGCAAUCCAUCGUGUUAAGCUGCGCACACUGAC